rnacentral:rRNA from 1 species
UACGUAGGGGGCAAGCGUUGUCCGGAAUCAUUGGGCGUAAAGAGCGUGUAGGCGGCCAUGUAGGUCCGGUGUGAAAACUCGAGGCUUAACCUCGAGAUGUCAUCGGAAACCAUUUGGCUAGAGUCCGGAAGAGGAGAGUGGAAUUCCUGGUGUAGCGGUGAAAUGCGCAGAUAUCAGGAAGAACACCAAUGGCGAAAGCAGCUCUCUGGGACGGUACUAACGCUGAGACGCGAAAGCGUGGGGAGCGAACAGG